GACUUUAUCGUACUCCGAAUGCAUCNNAGAUUAUUUNGUUUGGAUCCAUGGCUCAGAGUGAACCGCUGGCGUGUAGGCCUAACACAUGCAAGUCGAACGGCAGCACAGGAGAGCUUGCUCUCUGGGUGGCGAGUGGCGGACGGGUGAGGAAUACAUCGGAAUCUACUUCGGGGGGAUAACGUAGGGAAACUUACGCUAAAUACCGCAAUACGACCCUACGGCGCUGAACGCCACCGGAGANUCAUUCGAGACCCAUUGACGCCGGACUUUGGACAUGUACGCCCGAUGUAACGANUUUCACCCUUAAGUAUAUAGCCCCGNGNGUCAACAUCNGGCCCCACCANCACAAAGCC
rnacentral:rRNA from 1 species